AAAUUGAAGAGUUUGAUCAUGGCUCAGAUUGAACGCUGGCGGCAGGCCUAACACAUGCAAGUCGAGCGGUAGCACAGAGAGCUUGCUCUCGGGUGACGAGCGGCGGACGGGUGAGUAAUGUCUGGGAAACUGCCUGAUGGAGGGGGAUAACUACUGGAAACGGUAGCUAAUACCGCAUAACGUCGCAAGACCAAAGUGGGGGACCUUCGGGCCUCAUGCCAUCAGAUGUGCCCAGAUGGGAUUAGCUAGUAGGUGGGGUAACGGCUCACCUAGGCGACGAUCCCUAGCUGGUCUGAGAGGAUGACCAGCCACACUGGAACUGAGACACGGUCCAGACUCCUACGGGAGGCAGCAGUGGGGAAUAUUGCACAAUGGGCGCAAGCCUGAUGCAGCCAUGCCGCGUGUGUGAAGAAGGCCUUCGGGUUGUAAAGCACUUUCAGCGGGGAGGAAGGCGAUAAGGUUAAUAACCUUGUCGAUUGACGUUACCCGCAGAAGAAGCACCGGCUAACUCCGUGCCAGCAGCCGCGGUAAUACGGAGGGUGCAAGCGUUAAUCGGAAUUACUGGGCGUAAAGCGCACGCAGGCGGUCUGUCAAGUCGGAUGUGAAAUCCCCGGGCU
rnacentral:rRNA from 1 species